rnacentral:lncRNA from 1 species
AUGAGCUUCUAAAUACCUCUGUAGGCCCAUGUGUGAAUGUAGCAAUCUUGCUCCUCAACUCUUCAGCGCGUGUCUCAUCAAAGAAGUUAGGCAAGAAUGCGUUCUUGAUUUCGGCCCAGGAUGUAAGAAAUCCUGGUGGUAACUGCUUGAGUCAGUGCGAAGCUUCUCCAGUAAGUGAGUACUUGAAGAGCUUGCAAAAGAGGUAGUCCUCAGGGACUCCAUUGGCUUUAAUAGCAAAAACUAGAUCCUCGAACCUC